ACAUGAUGUUCUUUACAGGUGUAUGUAAACUUUUGACCAGGACCGUACCUGACUAAGACACUGGAGGGCUGCUUGCACAUGAGCCUUGAAGCCAAGCUGAACCUGUUUGGAGACUUAGUCUUAGACUAGUCAGGAAGUAGAAGAGCAGAAUUCCCAGCUGCAAAGAUGUGAUAUGAGUGAAGAUGGACUUCCUUCACCAGAGUGAGGUGUGGGCUUAGCAUGAGCAGCGUAAGCAGCUCACGGUGCGUUUUGUGCUCCGCCAGCUGGUGACGGUGGUAACCAGCUCUCAGAGAGACGUGAAGGCUGAAGGCUGAAGGUUGAAGGCUGAGUGACACACAGCACAGAUGCUUUGUGCACUGGAACACAGAGAGAUGUCUCCAUCGCUGAGGGACCUCAUCACACUUGGACUUUUCUUUCACAUCUGCACAAUUUACAUGAUGUCUUCUUUGGCUGUUUAAGGCUGAGAAAACACCUUCAAUCUGCAUCUUUCAACAAUAUUUUGCCAGUGAAUCAUGUUGAUGUUGAUCUUUGUGUCCAUGUAGUUGUGAUGUCAUCAUUUGGGGCUCAUGUGUCAUCACAUUGACAAGGAUUUCUUCUUUCCUUUUCAAACCAAUAGACAGCUGCUUAUCAGUGAAUAUCACCUUGUGUCACAUCUCAUCAUUAUUUUUACUAAUAUUUUGCAACAUUAGUACCAUUUUUUCAGUACUGUUGUAUGUUAAUGUUAAUUGUUUUUGAUGUAACAUUUAAGAAUGUUGAUUAUGAGAACUGCUGUCCAGUUGUUAUAUCUUGUUUUCUGAUGACAUUAGUCUCAUUUGCAAUGCAAUUGCACUUCCAAGACCAUUAGAUGGCAGCACUCUAUAACUAUUUAUGCUAUGUUGUCAAACUAGAAAGUAGCUUUUUUUCCAGGAAGAAUAAUUAGUUAAGUUGCGCCCUACAAACUGUCAAUACUGUAAAAAUAGUUCUCAUUACACAAAACUGUAAAAUUCAAA